rfam:Myotis lucifugus cont2.26115, whole genome shotgun sequence.
AUUUUAGUAUGAGUAUGCUCCAUGCAAUAUUUGGGACAUACUUGUGCUAAAA